rnacentral:rRNA from 1 species
CUUACCUACCCUUGACAUGUACGGAAUCCUGCUGAGAGGUGGGAGUGCUCGAAAGAGAACCGUAACACAGGUGCUGCAUGGCUGUCGUCAGCUCGUGUCGUGAGAUGUUGGGUUAAGUCCCGCAACGAGCGCAACCCUUGUCCUUAGUUGCUACGCAAGAGCACUCUAGGGAGACUGCCGGUGACAAACCGGAGGAAGGUGGGGAUGACGUCAAGUCCUCAUGGCCCUUAUGGGUAGGGCUUCACACGUCAUACAAUGGUCGGUACAGAGGGCUGCCAAACCGCGAGGUGGAGCUAACCCCAGAAAACCGAUCGUAGUCCGGAUCGCAGUCUGCAACUCGACUGCGUGAAGCUGGAAUCGCUAGUAAUCGCGGAUCAGCAUGUCGCGGUGAAUACGUUCCCGGGUCUUGUACACACCGCCCGUCACACCAUGGGAGUGGGUUUUGCCAGAAGUAGGUAGCCUAACCGUAAGGAGGGCGCUUACCACGGCAGGAUUCAUGACUGGGGUGAAGUCGUAACAA